AUGCUGAUGUUUGAAGAGAAGUUCCGCCGACACCGUCUUAGUCGUAUAACAAGUUUAUUACAACAAGCACAGUGUCGAAGCAAGUAGAAACUACUUGGAGAGCUCCUGGCCAAAUGAUGAGAGACUCUCCCGACCUAUGCCGGACAAGCCUUUAUAUAGGUUAUUUUGUGCCUCCCCAUGACAUGCAGUAACAAGAGCUCACGGCAAACAUACAAUGAAGUUACUUAAGACCAAAGAAACAGAAAGAUAAUAAACAGUCCUUUCCCAGGAA